rnacentral:rRNA from 1 species
AUUGAACGCUGGCGGCAGGCCUAACACAUGCAAGUCGAGCGGAGCGGCGGACGGGUGAUUAAUGCCUAGGAGUCUGCCUGGUAGUGUGGGAUAAGGCCCGGAAACGGGAGCUAAUACCGCAUACUAUCAGAUGAGCCUAGGUCGGAUUAGCUAGUUGGUGGGGUAAAGGCCUACCAAGGCGACGAUCCGUAACUGGUCUGAGCGGAUGAUCAUGCACACUGGAACUGAGACACGGUCCAUACUCCGACGGGAGGCAGCAGUGGGGAAUAUUGGACAAGUGGCGAAAGCCUGAUCCAGCCAUGCCGCGUGGGUGAAGAAGGCCUUCGGGUUGUAAAGUACUUUCAGCGGGGAGGCGUUACCCGCAGAAGAAGCACCGGCUAACUCCGUGCCAGCCGCCGCGGUAAUUC